rnacentral:lncRNA from 1 species
AGGGUCAUGAUAGAUUUGACUUGUUUGAAAAAAGUUUCUGGGCCAAUGGAGCUCUCAGCCAUGUACUGCCCCUUUGGAUUACUAAUAGGUUAGCUGAGUAAUUUGCCUUCCUCCCUCUUAUUCAAGGUUAUAGCUAGUUGUCCUACCUGGGCUUCUAGCUUUGCAAUUGACUGUGUGUGGGAAUGCAGUACCUAUAGUUCUUGCAGAAUCUUUUCAAGGGCAGCAUU